CCCUUUCUUUCGCUAACAAACACACCCUCACCAACCCUAGAUUCUCCUAAACGGCGAAACCCUAUUAGAGCCACCAUCACCAUCCCCCCUUUCAUUCUGCUCUUCUCCUCGCGUCGCCAGAAGCUAAGGUCGGUUCGGGGCUGUUGUUGGCAUCGCCGUUUUUCUGUCCGAGCUCUCUUUGUCGCUACUUCUUUGCUCUUCACCGCUGGUCGUUGUCGCUUCUCCACUCCUCGCCGUAGGUCGUCACUGCUUCUCCCCUCCUUGCCGUGUCGUUUCUUCUUCUCACCUCGUCGUUUUUGGCUGUGGCCCCUUCUCGUCUCCCCGCCAGUCUUGUCGUCACUGCCUCUCUGCUCCGCACCGUGUCUCACUGUCGUCGCUUCUCUGUUUCACGUUACCAAAAUUCCCAAUUUGAAUUUCUCUAUCUCGCUGGCUCUAUGCUGUCUUUUCCUCUCCUUCGCUGGCAAUCCAGAUAACGCAUUCAGCAACUUUCGUAGCUUCGACCCAGAAGAUAAAAAAGAAAGAAGAAAAUCAACUAUAGAAGCGGACAGGGCGCCGGAACCUCUCUCUCUCUCUCCGUAAGUCGUAACCAUGGCUAUGGCUAUGCAAAGCGGGAUCGGCUUCUCCAAGAUUCUCAUCAUAGCUGGAGCUGGCUACACCAGUACCGUCCUCAUCAAGAACGGUAAACUUUCCGAUUUAAUUGGCGAGCUCCAGUUGUUGGUGAAGGGAUGGGAAAAAUCUGGCGAUCGCAGUGAAGGUGAAGGUGAAUAUGCUGAUGCCAUUGCUGCGCAGGUGCGUCGAUUGGCAAAUGAAGUUCGGCAGUUAACAUCAAGCAGGCCAAUUACAGUACUCAAUGGGGGUUCUGGAGAAAGUAACUUAUCUUCACUUGUGGUUCCAGCAGCUGCAUUGGGUGUUGUGGGUUAUGGUUACAUGUGGUGGAAGGGAAUCUCAUUCUCAGAUCUUAUGUAUGUCACUAAACGUAGUAUGGAAAAAGCUGUUUCAAAUUUGACAAAAAAGCUGCAGCAUGCCUCAGAUGUCAUUGCUGAUGCUAAGAAGCAUUUGACACAGAGGAUCCAACAUUUGGAUGACAAAAUGCUCAAGCAGAAUGAAUUGGCACGGUCAAUUAAGGAUGAAGUGGCUGGGGUUCGAAGUACAAUUACUAAUUUCCAUGAUGACUUGGGAAUCUUGCAUUACACAGUGGGAUCAUUGGAUGAAAGAUUGGCUACACUAAGUGGCAUGCAGGAUGAUGCAAAUCAAGGUUUGGCGUACCUCAUCGACUUCGUACAUGGGAAAACCCGCAAACCACCUGAAUUCUUGCAGGAGCGGCUGAGGAUUUCUGCAAAAUCCCGUAGUGUUCUCACAUAUCAGGGAGCUCCAAGUCUGAUGGGACUCAAAGACAUUGCGGAAACAAUGCGUAGUGAUUUAGACAGGUCAGCCUCUGACGGUAUCUUAUCAGAUGGCAUGGAUAAGCUAGAGCAUCUGCGAAGGCCAUUGCUGAGAAAGGGCGAAGGUGGUGAACGAAGAAAGGGAGCAUGGCAUCGGAUGGGGUAUCAUCUUGCUCCCGAAGGAGUGGAGGUGUAGGAAGAGAAGAGCAAUUCGCGGAAGGUUCUGGUCCUAAGAGGAAGGAUGGCAAAGAUAGGGUGUCACCGAAGUGCUUCUGUGGAGAACAUGCCAUCAUGUUCAUGUCGAAGACGAGCAGCAACCCUAACAGAUUAUUUCUCGGAUGUCCGUUUUAUAAGGUGAGACAACCCCAUUGCAAGUUUUUUUUGUGGUUAGAUGAGCACAUUGGAAGGCUUGGGUUGAGUGAUUCAAGGUUCCAGGCAGAGAAGGAAUUAGGUGACGUUGAAGAGGAUGAAUGGAAGCCUGACAUGGAGAAAAAGAUCAUUUGUUUAGAGAAGAGGAUUGUAGCUUUAGAAUCCAAAAAAAAUCCAGUUAGAUGGUGUAUGUAUGUGAUUGUAAUUGUCCUUAUUGCUGGUAUUUUACGUUGUAAGAACUGAGUGAUGGUUGAAUAUGAUAAAUUUUGUAA